UCUGUCCAGCUAAAGUAUGAGGACAUCUUCUGCUAUUCCUUACAGGUGGCCAGGCAAAGGCUAGUACCAUCAUGAAGAGGUGCUGAGGUGACACUGGAUAGCAUUUGCAAAACGGCAAAGAAAAGCGAGAUUGAAAUCAAGUAGGAGCUUGAAAACACUUGAGUGAGGUAUGUGAGGUGCAGAGAGAAGUGACUUGCUCAAGGCAAGAUAACCAGUCUGUAGAAGAGCCAUAAAUAGAACUUGAAUCUCCCAAUUCUCAGGGUCAACGAGACAGAAAUUUAAGUGACCCUGUAUCAACUGAAAUCCCAGAUUAUUAAUUAAUUGGAAGAGAAAGGACAAUCAGAGGAAGUAUUAUGUAGGCUCUAAGAAUAUUUCUAUGAGCCUUUUAUAGAGCAGCUCAUUAGGCAACAUACUAUAAUAAGGAACCUGGCUCCUGAGACCUGGACUUAACGCUUAUCAGCCUGGAAACAUCCAACAUAUGAUAUGAAUGGAUUAGAAAAUUAAGUACUGUAUGUUAAAAGAUAAUGGUUAUUCCUUGAAUAUACCACUAAGUUCACCAAAUAAAUUGAAUUCAACUGG